rnacentral:pre_miRNA from 1 species
UUUGUACUCCCUCCCUCCGGAAAUACUUGUCGGAGAAAUGGAUGUAGCUAGACGCACAUUAGUUCUAGAUACAUCCAUUUUUAUCCAUUUCUCCGACAAGUAUUUUCGGACGAAGGGAGUAGUUC